UACGUAGGGUGCGAGCGUUGUCCGGAAUUAUUGGGCGUAAAGGGCUCGUAGGCGGUUUGUCGCGUCGGGAGUGAAAACCAGGUGCUUAACACCUGGCUUGCUUUCGAUACGGGCAGACUAGAGGUAUUCAGGGGAGAACGGAAUUCCUGGAUGUAGCGGUGAAAUGACGCAGAUAUCAGGAGGAACACCGGUGGCGAAGGCGGUUCUCUGGGACGGUACUGACGCUGAGACGCGAAGGCCAGGGGAGCAAACGGG
rnacentral:rRNA from 1 species